rnacentral:rRNA from 1 species
UACAGGGGGUGCAAACGUUGCUCGGAAUCAUUGGGCGUAAAGCGCACGUAGGCGGUUCGUUAUGUCGGAUGUGAAAGCCCUUGGCUUAACCGAGGAAGUGCAUCCGAAACUGGCGAGCUAGAGUACGAAAGAGGAUCGCGGAAUUCCCGGUGUAGAGGUGAAAUUCGUAGAUAUCGGGAGGAACACCGGUGGCGAAGGCGGCUCACUGGCCCGAUACUGACGCUGAGGCACGAAAGCGUGGGGAGCAAACAGG